CGUGUUUGUCUUUUAUUGGAGCUGCGCACUGUAUUUCAAGGGAGCCUCGGUGUUCUUCCUGUCCUUCCCCGAAUACUGACGAUAACAUGAUAGCCUGUCUCAAAACUGAUAUUGUCUAAGUUCAGGACGGCAAGGUGGACAUAGAACUGGCAGGAGGAACUUCUGAGGAAAACUACUCUUAAGUAUUCCUUCUGUCUGGAAUGUGGAACAUGAUUAGAGCUUGGGCAAUUCUAUUGAACUGUGAGCACGGUUGAGUGAUUGGAUGGAGCACAGACCAAGCUCAUUUAAAAAUAUCUUUUAAUGGCACCCCUAGUUGUCAACAUACUCUUUGUGGCCAUGCCUUGCUUUGAAGCUGGAGGGAGAGUGGAGAUCUGAGAGCUAUAUCUUCAGGAUCCUGUCAGAGUGAAUGACUUGGCAGCAUGAAGGACAUACAGUCACCGAAGCCCCUGCUUCUCAUUUGGGACCACACUCCAGUGUACAGGACCCAAGAAGUCUCUGCCCAGGAGGUGUCGAUCCACUUCCAGGGCUGGCAUUUGGAACGUGCCUCGCCCCAAUGCACUCUCCAGCAUAACAAGUGACAAAGGGUUGGAUUCCCAGCACCCACAUGGCAUACAACCAUCUGUAUCUCCAAUUCCAGGAUAUUGGAACCCUAUUCUCGCCUCCAAGAGUGUGGGUGGCCUCCUCAGACAGAAUCUUAUUCAAAAGCCCUGCUCUACGUAGGUGGUGACUUAUUGGAGCCCACCUUCUUCCUCAAAAGCCUCACCUUACUGUGAGGUCAGACUCAAUGUGCAAGAUUUUGUUGUCUAACUGAGGAUCAACUGCAAGUGAGGUUCCUCACUUAUUACUCUAGGGAGCUUGUCUAUGAACACGAAGGAUAAAUGCUCUCUGUGCCCUCUCCUCACAUCUGUAUGCCAGCAUUCUUUGAAAGGAUGGGCAUGACAUGCAUCACACAUUAACACCCAGUGAUCGUCAGUGGCCACUUUGGAAGAUGAACCAACUCCAAAUAGCACUAUCCUGAGGCACUGAGGACCACUUGGAAAGGGAGAUAAGAGCCAUGAAGGCAGCUUUCCUGUGGUGAGACCUAUUCAGUGCACCCUGCUUGUGCAGACCCGGGCAGUUCACAAAUGUGGGAAACUUCACUGCAUGAUUUGUGAAGGUGUGCAGGCUGAAAAAGCACUGAAGCAGAGCCAGCCGCACUGAAGUCCCUGCUCAGAGACAAAAGAAUGGGACAGACAAGCAGACACGAGGGGCCAGAAGGACAAAGACAGAAGAGAAGCACAUUGGUACCAUUCCGGCUCUGCGAAAUUCUGCCAUCCUUGCUAAAACUGGACUCCUUGAGAUGCUGUAAUGUCCUCGCAACAAACCUCUCUUUAAUUAGUCUAGCUUAGGUGGAUAUUUUUUCUUGCAGCUAUGCAUAACUAAACUGUUCACUAUGUUAAUUUUCAAGAAUUCCGAAGACAGCAGCAACUUACAGUUUCCUGCCAGAGUUCCAAACCUGACAUCAAAAAUGCUAUCACAGAACCUUUGGCUUAAAUCCCAAGUCACUUUAGACAAACAUCCCAGAAGAAAUGUGAGGGUGACGCCCAGACUCAGCUCAUCCCACUCAAAAGUGAAAUCAUGAAAGUGGCAAAGAAAUUUUAAAUUAGUCUCUUUUUAAAGUUGUUAAUUUGACAUAGAAUAAUUGGUAAAGAAAAGUCCUUCGGUCUAUUGUGAUUUUGAUUGACAGGCAGAGAAUGAUUAGAACAAGGGAGUAAAACAUGUGGUCCAAAGCACUGAAGAAAGCCAGGAGCUUCUUGGAUCCAAACUAUGGGCUAUCCCAAUGAUUAUGUCACAGGUAGAGGCACAAAUCUUUCAUUUAACCCAUUAAGAGGUAGUAUAAAAGAGUGAAUUGUUGGGACCUACCUGGAAUGUUAGAGCCUAGAUAGAAUGUUAAGGCCCAGGUAACCAUUACCUGGCUACCCUGCCAUGAUAAGGAAACGUUCUCAUAUAUUUCUGCUGAAACUAGGAAACUUUCUAACACCAAGAUUGAUUACAUAUCCUGUUACGUUCUGAGUCCUUGAAAACCAAUCAUGAUAGAAGUCAGUAGAACUGUUUUGAGGUUACCCACAAUAAGCUUGGACCUGAACGAACCAUCCAAUAGCUUUUGUGGUAUAAGCUGCUCCAGGGAUGGAUCCCAACAUAAGAGAGAUAAGAAACUGUUUGGAAUGAGACUUCUAUUUUGAGUAGUGGUUGAGAAAAUUAGACUUCCCAAGACUUCCCUGGGAACUGACAUCCUACUUGGCAGGAAGAGACGUGUACAUGGGUAACUGACAUCCUUUUUUUUUUUUUUUUUUUGUCAAGUAAGUCAGGAAUGUUAGACAAGUCCCAUCCUGGUUCACAAGUUAGGGCAUGAAUAUUAGACAAGUCCCCUGCCACAGCUGAAUACCCCAACCAGUAGAAAGAAACAGGAAUAAUGACCAACAAAGACAUGUUCCUAAGGAACUGUCCUGUCCCUAAAUCCUGAUUGGUGAAAUAACUUGGCACAGAUGUCUGUGGAUUUGGGGCUUGAAAUCUCUGUAGGUUCUUAACUUGGGAUCAUGGUUCAGUUCCCGAAUCUGGGCCAUGGCCCUGGUCAAUAAGUCCUGGGGUUGUAUAUUCAAUAAACUCUCCCUGACUGACUGAGGUGGGUGUGGAUAUGGUCUGGGAGGUGAUUCCUGGGCCCCAAUGGAGUAGUGCAAGGCAGGAACACUUAAGCCAACCAUUGAAUAAUGAGAACAAUUAAGCAUCGUGUGUUCAAUUAGCAAUUUAAGGUGUAAACACUGGGUUCUUGUUAGUUUUGUCACCCUGUCACAACCCAGAGCCUCUUAGGAAGAGAAAAACCUCAGCUAAACAAUUGUCUUCAUCAAAUUGUCCUGUGAGAAAUUGUCAGUGAGAAAUUGUCUUGAUUGACAGUUCAUGUGGGCUGACCCAGCCAGCUGUGAAUAGCACAAUGCCUAGGUAGGUAAGCCUGGUCUGUAUGAGAAGACAGUCAGUGAAGCAAGAGACAGUAAGCAAUGCUUGCCCAUAGUUCCUGCCCUGACUUCCCUCGGUGAUGAACUAUGACUUGGAAACAUGAGCUGAAGUAAAUCCUUUCCUCUCCACAUUGCCUUUGUCCAUGCUGAUUAUCACAGCAACAGACAGCAAACCAGAACACAGUGAGGAAGAGAACCAUACAAGUAAUCUAAGGGAGGAGCUAAAGGACUCAGGCGAAUUAUUCUUAAUGUAAUAUCAGAAAAGUUCAAAUCAUAUGAAAGCAACACCAAGAGGAUGCUAGAAGACGGGUGGGCACAAAGAAACUCUGAAGAGCAAAUGUCUCACAUACAGAACCUCCUCACAGAUGAACAGUGAUUCCAGAAGCUUCCAGAGUAAAUCUAGAAUCUAGAUAUUGGCAGGCUGAUAGGAAGACCUGUGUAAAACUUCAUAGUUUUUUGCUGUUGUUGUUUUUGGGUUUUUUUGGUUUUGUUUUGUUUUGUUUUGUUUUUUGAGGAAAUGCCCCCUGAGCUAUUGGAAAUGGUGGAAGAUAGGCAGGAGGGACUUCAGUCCCAAAGGUUCUUGAAGGCAACAUGAAUUUAUGAGUGAAAAGUGAUAAUUUUCUUCUCCCUCCUCCCACAGUUGGUUAUAUAAGGUUAUGGAAGUAGUAAAUGGUACACUAACCUGCGAAUUUAUGAUAACCUAGGAUUUGAACUAUUCAGUUUGCUGGGGGGUUCAAAUUCCUGCGGUAUUUUUGUUUUUCUUUCUUUAGCCAGAAAGACUAAAGACUUUAUGUGACCAUAAAUAUUUUCUCCCAAGGACAACUGUGUCUUACACGAUUUUAGCUGUGGUCCACCACUGUUACCCCGGAAUCCUUGUAGAGAUGGUGCACUGUGGGGGAUGGGGAGUCAUCCAGACUCUUCAGAUUGAAUUUCUCUUUUGUUGAGCCUAUACUUUUGCAAGGUUUGUUUGUUUAUAGUGGCACACUUUUCUCCCCUUCUUUCUCCCAAGUGCAGUAUUUCUCAUCCAGUUUCACGAAGCCUUAAUCUCUAUUGAAUUUUUUUCCUCCUGUGCACAAUAGAAGACAUUAGUAAGUGCUCCAGUUGGAAGGACACUUUGAAUGGGGAUAAGUUUCUGGAAAAGUCUCUCCCCUUGUUACACAGGCCACCACUGCAGGGUGAGUUUCACAGCCAUUGUUCCUUUCCUCCUCUCUCAACAGCUACCAGGAGAUCUUCCUUAACUUUUCCCUGUUAGAGUUCCAGGAGACAGCCUCUACCAAGGUGAAGCAAAGGGUCCCUCUCAGACUGUGCUUCCCAGGAUGGCUCGCACAAGUCCACACUUAGCCUCUCUCCAUUUAUCAAAGUGCUAUUUAAGUGGUUUCUUCUAGCUUCUAGCUUGAGUGACUUCUGCUUCAAGCACGAAGAUCUGUGCUAUGCAUCAGAAAAUCUGAAAUGCCUGGGAAUGAAGUUAAUAAAGAUGCACAGGUCUGCCAGCCUGACAGCUAUAAAACACCACAGAGAGGAAUCAGGGAACACCUAAAUAAAUAAUGAGCCUCGCCAUCGUCACAGAUUGGAAAUUUUAAUAUCACAAAGAUAUCAAUUAUGUUUGUUCCCAUGACUGCCGUGACAAAUCACCACAAACUUGAGGCUUCAAAUAACACAAAUUUAUUACCAUAUAGCUCUCUAGGUUGGAAUUCUGAUCUGGGCCUCAUCAAACCAGAGCUGCAUUCCUUCCCUGGGCUCUGGGGACAAACCAGUUUCCUUACCUCUCCCCGUUCCCACACACCACAUCUUUUUCACAAGUACUUCUCCACCUUCAAAGCCAGCGACGCAUGCCAAGGUCUUUUGGUAUUUCAUCUCACUGCCAUGCCUCUCUCCUUCUACAUUUAAGGAACAGAAACGUCAACCCUGAACCCACCCAGUGGAGUCAGGUCAAUCUCUAUGUUUUAAAACCAACUGAGUAACAAGCCGAAUUGCUCUUUGCUGUAUACCCUAACAUGUUUACAAGUUCCAAGAAUUAAGGCAUGGGCAGCUUUGGCAGGAAGCAGGAGAAACUUCUGUUUCACUUUCUUUAAAUGAUAUAAAGAUUCAAUGCAAUUUGACAUUUGCAAUAAGACACCAACAUGCCAUGUGUAGAAAUUGCCAAGUUGGUACUCAAAUGUAUAAAGAUUUUAGAAUAAAAUAAAACAAAACAUUUUAGAAUAAUAAACUAAGCAGUCUUUUAAAAGGUGCUACUCUGGCUAGUUUAUACUAUCUGAUUGUAAAAUUGUCCAUAAAGCCAGAAUUAUCAAGAUUGUAUGUACUGCUGUCUGAAUAGGCUGAGGGAUCAAUAAUAAAUGGCGUUGGAACAUCUGAAAACAUGUGUAUAGAAACAAACAAACAAACUGUGAUGGAAACCCCACAACAUACCCCAAACUAGCAGAAUUGCAUACUUAAACAUUGUACUGUGGAGGUCCGGGGUGACAGCUCAAGUAGGGCAAGUGCCCGCUGUGCAAGCAUGAAGACCUGAGGUGGGAUCUGUAGCACCCCUGAUAAAUUAAUGAAGAAAAAGUAAAAGUAAUGGAAAAAGAAAGAAAAGCCAGGCCUCAUGCAUCUGUGGAGGCAACCAGUGGGACAGAGAGAGACGGAUAGAUUCCUGGGUCUCCUGGCCAGUCAGUCUAACAUGAAGCAGUGAGCUAGCUCUGAGUUCAAUAAUACACUCCUGGAAAAGUGAGGUAGUGAGGUGAACAGAAAUAGGAGAAAGACACCCAAUGCCAAUCUCUAGAUUCCCCAACAGGCAAGCACACUGUUCUCUCUCUCUCUCUCUCUCUCUCUCUCUCUCUCUCUCUCUCUCUCUCUCUCUCUCUCUCUCUUUCUCUCUCUCUCUCUCUGUGUGUGUGUGUGUGUGUGUGUGUGUGUGUGUGUGUGUGUGUAAGGGGGGAGGAAGAGCAGGAGGAAGAGUGCGGGGAAAGAGAGUGGAGAGGGAGAGGUGGAGGUACUCAGAAAGUGAAAAACCAGACUAUAAAAUUUCUAGGAAAAACUACAGAGGCAUACCUUAUGACCUUAAGGUCUGUCUGAGAACACGAAAACUGUCCUGAAUGGGGGGAAUGCCAAACUAAUAAUUGGAAUAUGUUUUCUUGGAGUCUGAUCAUCAAAAGUCACUGUUAAGACAGCAAGAUCUGAUGAUGGAGAUGCAGCACAGUGACAGAGAGCUUGCCUAGCAUGUACAAGCAUGUGCCAGGGAAGGGAGAGAGAGCCAAACUGGGUUUGUAGAAAAUUCACGUAAUACAUGUAUUCAACCAUCAUGGAUACAUGUUGCAGUGCCCAAACCUCUUUUUCAGACAUUCAUGUUUGUAGCAUUUAUCAGAUAGUCCUUUCUUUCCUAAGUUUAAAUAAACGUAAUUGUAUCUCUGUUCAAAUGUAUGGAUACUUUAAUUUUUGUGUGUGUGUGUAUAACCACAUUUUAAAGGCAUGCUCAGCCUUCUGUGAACACUGAAAUGGUUUCACCAUAUAGUUGCCAUAGGUAAAAUGGGUGUUGGCAUCCUUGCUUUUAAUUCGUUUAUGUAUACUCAUGCAAAUGGAGUUGCUGGGUUCCAUUGAAAGAGUCAGAGUUGGGGCCAAUCUAGGGCCAGUGGGAAAAUUCCCACCACAAACCUCCAAGCACAAGGAACCCCUCCCUUCCAGGAAGAAAAAUGCUGGUUUAGUUCCUGGAACAGCUACAAGUCAAACUGUCACACAGCUACCUGUGGCUUCCUACUAAACCCCUCCUUGAGAAAGUCUUGAACAAGUCCAAACUGAAAGCUGUUUUGCUCCACCAAAUGCACAUAGUACCCUGCCUAGUUACCAUUGUGCAGAUUCUGCCCCAAUUGCUUGAAUUCUGACCUAGUUGUUUGCAAGGUAUAGAAUCCCCUGUUAAAAUCUGCUCAGGGUCAUCUCCCCUUGAGGUGGGAGGACUCUAACAUGUUGGAAUUAAACUCCUCUUGCUAUUACAUCAAACACUGCCUCCAUGAGUCUAAUUCAAGUGGUCCUGGAAGAGGUUCAACUCGGACCUCACACCAUGAUAUGUUUAAUUUCUGAGUAACUGUGGUGGUUUGAAUGAGAAUGUCCCCAACAGGCUCACAUAUUUGAAUAUUUGGUUCCUAGUUAGUGGAACUGUUUAGGAAGGCUUAGGAGAGGUGGCCUUGUAGAAGGAGGAGUGUUACUAGGGGUGGGCUUUGUUGUUUGAAAGCCCAUGCCAGCUCCCCAGUCCUCUCUGCUUGCUGCCCAUAGAUCAGAAUGUAAAGCUCUUAGAUACUUCUCUAGUACCAUGUUUCCCACUAUGCUGAUUAUGUACUAACCCUCUAAAAUGUAAACAAGCUCCCGAUUAAAUGCUUAUUUAAAAA
ensembl:lncRNA